ACCAGUAUAAUGCGGGAAUACAUUUUGUCUGUUCAUUCCAUAUUCUAGGUCGCCCACAAGUAUAAAUGCAGGCAUGUCAUUACCAAUAGGAGACGCACUUCCUCAGUUUAGUUUGCAUGAGACGCACUUCCGGAAUUGAGAUUUCACCCUUAGGAGAUGCACUUCCUAGUUUGAUUCAUUUUAAGUUCGACCAUAGGAGACGCACUUCCUAGUUUAGUUCAUUUCGAUUCGACCAUAGGAGACACACUUCCUAGUUUGAGUCAUUGAGGUUUUAUUUUAGCAGACGCAUUUGCUAGCAAAAGUUUUUGGUUUUACUCGUAGGAGAUGCACAUCCUAGCCUAGUCUUUAGUUUACUCAUCAUUGCAUCAGUAGUGUAAAUGAGUUACAAUUUUGCUAACGACUCACGAAUCUUCCCUGCACGAACUGGGUUAGGAAAUUUUGUUUGUUUUGUUUGUUUUGGUUGUCAGGGACCCGCCUGUAGAACGGAGGUUGUUGUAUGUCAAAGAAAAGAAGUAAUCAGGCGUCCACCUGGAGAACAAGGACAAAGAAAAGAAGUAAUCAGGCGUCCACCUGGAGAACAAGGACAAAGAAAGGAAGAAAUCAGGCGUCCACCUGGAGAACAAGGACAAAGAAAGGAAGUAAUCAGGCGUCCACCUGGAGAACAAGGACAAAGGAAGGAAGAAAUCAGGCGUCCACCUGGAGAACAAGGAUAAAUAAAAGAAAUAGAAAUCAGGCGCCCACCUGGAGAAUAAGGGAAUACAAUUGAAGUAUUGAAGUCAAA
rnacentral:lncRNA from 1 species